AGAGUUUGAUCCUGGCUCAGAACGAACGCUGGCGGCGCGCCUAAUACAUGCAAGUCGAGCGAGAAGGUGUAGCAAUACACUUGUAAAGCGGCGAACGGGUGAGGAAUACAUGGGUAAUCUACCAUCGAGUGGGGAAUAACCAGCCGAAAGGUUGGCUAAUACCGCGUACGCCUCCGGAUCUUCGGGUUCGGAGGGAAAGCCACACUGUGAGUGCGGCGCUCUUUGAUGAGCUCAUGUCCUAUCAGCUUGUUGGUAGGGUAACGGCCUACCAAGGCUUUGACGGGUAGCUGGUCUGAGAGGACGAUCAGCCACACUGGCACUGCGACACGGGCCAGACUCCUACGGGAGGCAGCAGUAAGGAAUAUUGCGCAAUGGGCGAAAGCCUGACGCAGCGACGCCGCGUGGGGGAUGAAGGUCUUCGGGUUGUAAACCCCUUUCGGGAGGGAAGAUGGAGCGAGCAAUCGUUCGGACGGUACCUCCAGAAGCAGCCACGGCCAACUUCGUGCCAGCAGCCGCGGUAAUACGAAGGUGGCAAGCGUUGUUCGGAUUCACUGGGCGUACAGGGUGUGUAGGCGGUUUGGUAAGCCUUCUGUUAAAGCUUCGGGC
rnacentral:rRNA from 1 species